CACGUAGGGGGCAAGCGUUGUCCGGAUUUAUUGGGCGUAAAGAGCUCGUAGGCGGUUCGGUAAGUUGGGUGUGAAACCUCCAGGCUCAACCUGGAGACGCCACCCGAUACUGCUGUGACUAGAGUCCGGUAGGGGAGCGUGGAAUUCCUGGUGUAGCGGUGAAAUGCGCAGAUAUCAGGAGGAACACCUAUUGCGAAGGCAGCUCGCUGGGACGUAACUGACGCUGAGACGCGAAAGCGUGGGGAGCAAACAGG
rnacentral:rRNA from 1 species